rnacentral:lncRNA from 1 species
UUUUUUUUUUUUUUUUUUUUUUUUUUUUGGUCUUUUUAGGGCCAGCCUGUGGCCUAUGGAAGUUCCCAGGGUAAGGAUCGAAUCAGAGCUGUAGCUGGCUGCCGGCCUAUGCCAGAGCCACAGCAAUGCAGGCUCUGAGCUGUGUCUGCGACCUACAUGACAGCUCAUGGCAACGCCAGAUCCUUAACCCACUGAGCAAGGCCAGGGAUCAAACCCACAUCCUCAUGGAUGCUAGUCAAAUUCGUUUCCACUGAGCCACGAUGGGAACUCCAGGUAAUUUUUUUUUUAAUGGCCGCAACGAUGGCAUAUGGAAGUUCCCGGGCCAGGGAUUAAAUCUGAGCCACAGCUUCGACUUAGGCCAUAGCUGCAGCAAUGCUGGAAUCUUUGACCCACUGUGCCAGGCCCGAGGAUCAAACCCACACCUCCACAGCAACCCGAGUCGCUAAAGUUGGAUUCUUAACCCACUGCACCACAGCAGGAACUUUGCCCCUGUCAUAGUCCAAGCACCUAGGACAGUGCCUGGCACACAGUAAGUUCUUAAUAGAUUCUGUAGAGUGGAUGGAUGGAUGGAUGAGCAAAGAGGCUGUGUCCAAAUAAAGAAAAAAAAGUCCAAGUGACAAAAUUUGAGCCCACAUGAGAUGCUGAGGGUGGCAAGAGGCAAAGCCAGGGAAUUCCUUCAGGAGUAGACAGGGAGGGGGUGCCUGGAAGGGGAGCUGCUGUCUGUGAACCCCAGAGGAAAUACCCAGCCCUGGUCUGGUGGAGCUGAAGGGCACCCAGCCCAGCCCCCAGGAACCCCCACCUGGCCUCCUUUCUAAAAAAAAAAAAAAACCUUCCUACUUCUCUCUCCCCCGCCAGGCCUCUGGGAGAGGACAAAAGGGGCAAUGGAAUUCCCAUCAAAGGCCACCGGACACAUGGUAAAGAGAUCAGGGCCCUGGGGAUCCUGCUUCCUCGAGGUGGUGAGGCCUCCCCGCCAGCCUGGCUCCUCUCUGGGAUGGGGGUGGCCUGGGGGUGGGUGUGCUCUGGCCCUGGACUCCUCAUAUGUCAAAUGCCAAACAGCAGGAGGCUGGCCAAGCGGGCCCCCAUCUGGGCUGUGUGCGCACACGCGCUGGGGGGAGGGGAGAGUGCAGAAAUCCCUGCCUGUGUCCGCGGUCAGGGCCACAGACAAGCUGUGACCAUCUGUUGUCGUCUUGAGAGGCCAGGCCAGGGGCCCAGCACCCUUGAGGAUAAACCUUCCCUUUCUCCCUGCCUUCUAGUGUCUGCAAAGAACUUUAAUAAUUACCAUUCGGUUUCCUCCUUGCAACUACCCUGCAGGAGAAGCAUCUUCUCCCCAUUUUACAGAAGAGGAGAUAGAGGCUGAGGCGGGGGAGUGAUUCUCCCAAGGUCAUGACAGCUAGUAAGCGGGGAAGCUGGGACUCUCAGCCCAUUCUGCCGGCCCCUCCCUAUAGCCUUGGCCUAGAUGCCUGGACACCAAACACAGGGCCCUCUCAGGGCUAGGCUCUCAGGCAUGGCUCUAAGCCUGCCCCUGGCUCCCUCUUCCAGGAAGCCUUCUAGGACUGACACCCCCAAGGAAGUUCUAAGAUGCCUCAAAGUCUAGAGCUCUGUACAGCCACUCCUUUCCCACCCUGGGUUGUUGGUCUCUCUGUCCCAGUGUAUUGGGCCCUCUCACGGGCCAGGACCCC